CUCGUAGGCGGCUUGUCGCGUCGACUGUGAAAACCCGCGGCUCAACCGCGGGCCUGCAGCCGAUACGGGCAGGCUAGAGUUCGGUAGGGGAGACUGGAAUUCCUGGUGUAGCGGUGAAAUGCGCAGAUAUCAGGAGGAACACCGGUGGCGAAGGCGGGUCUCUGGGCCGAUACUGACGCUGAGGAGCGAAAGCGUGGGGAGCGAACAGGAUUAGAUACCCUGGUAGUCCACGCUGUAAACGUUGGGCGCUAGGUGUGGGGGGCCUCUCCGGUUCUCUGUGCCGCAGCUAACGCAUUAAGCGCCCCGCCUGGGGAGUACGGCCGCAAGGCUAAA
rnacentral:rRNA from 1 species